GCACCUCUGUGCCCAGGGGUUGGACUCCGCUGUGCCAGUGGUGAGUGUGUCCUGAGAGGGGGCCCUUGUGACGGUGUUCUGGACUGCGAGGAUGGCUCGGAUGAGGAGGGCUGUGUGUUGCUGCCUGAGGGCACUGGCAGAUUCCAUUCCACAGCCAAGACCCUGGCCCUCUCCUCUGCCCAGCCGGGGCAGCUGCUGCACUGGCCCAGGGAGAGACAAGGCCCGUGAGUCCUGGCCCAGCCUCCGGGGUGCCUCACCAUGGGGAAUCUGUGCAGAUGGUGACCACCACCCCCAUACCCCAGAUGGAGGCCAGGACCCUGCCACCAGGUAUGGCAGCUGUGACGGUGGUGCCCCCACACCCUGUGACUCCAGCGACCCCUGCUGGUAAGAUGCCAAGCCCUUCUACCUGUGUGCAAG
rnacentral:lncRNA from 1 species